UUAAGAUUAAAGAGGGUGUGUAGGCCCAAAGCAGGAUGUAUGGUCAGCAAGUGUUUUGGCCCGGGGGUCAAAGCCCAGGCGCUGAACAAAUGGCCAAAAAUGAACGCAUCUGGCCUGGGACUCAUGGCCUAGGCAUUUGGAGACAAGACUAGAGGGUGGUGUAGGAGAAAAUAUUUGGGUGCCAAGAGUGAACGGAUUGGGCCUUUGGCCCAAAGGAAACAUCCUCCUUAAGUCAAACGUGAGACUCAGGUUCAAACCUAGCUUUUCUCUCCUCUUGCAUUCUCGUCGUCUCCGCCGCGCCAGCGGAGCCCAAAUCAACUUCCCGAACACACCAAUAGAACCAGCUCAAUAAGCCAAACCUAGAUAUGUUAUCUGUUCGCCCUCAUUCUUCAACACCUCUAGAAUCGAGUCAGAUUUUAGAUGAACCCUAAUCUAUAAUUUCAUAAAUUAAACGUAAGAGAGACGAAAUUGAACCAACACACUUAGGGCUUCAAAUCAUCAAGCCAAUGGCUACAUCCCAGUAACAAGUUGAUGAUGAAAUAAAGGAGAGAGAAAAGGAGCUUACUGGCCGGAGCAGUUCCGACGACUCUUCAAAUUGGUAAUUGCAAAGGAUGGCAAGGCAUGAAGGAAGGAAAUGCAAGGCAAUUGUGGAGGCAAGGUGCAAGCCAAGAUUCAUGACAUGGAAAUGGUCAAUUUUGCCAAAAGUGGAAUUUUAUUGCUUGUGAAGUAACAUUGAAUUUUAUGAAUUAUGUAUGGGUGGAAUAUAGUUAGAAAUAGGUUUAGGAUGAAGAAAUGCAAAUGUUGACUUUGGUCAACAGUUGGCCAAAAAGUCAACUUUUAAAAAAUAUACAUAUUUCUUGACAUCUUUGUAAUGAACUAUGUAUGCCUUCAUAAAUGAAUGAAAAAUCAAUUGUUUGGAUGAAA